CAAUGACAUCCUCCAGCUCCUCUCAUCACAGCGCUCCUCCCGCCAAGCACUUUGGAAUUGUGUGCACCAGUGUUGCACCCACCAUCAAUCGCUGGUUGGCAAGUGUGGCGACCAGGGUGGCGAUGUCACGAAUCUCGGACCUGACGGCGGGGGACUCGAGAACCGCCGGACGACUGUCGACCACCAGUACGGCAAUGUCCGCCUGUCGUACAGGUAGUACCGCGCAUGGAUGUUGUUGUCCUUGUGUAGUGUGUGUGAGUGUGUGUGCCUGUGUAUGUGUGUCUGUGCGUGUGUGUCUGUGCGUAUGCGUGUGUGUGUGUCUGUGCGUAUGUAUAUCCGUGCGUAUGUGUGCCCGUGCGUAUGUGUGUCUGUGCGGGGAGGGAUGUUGGCGGUCAUGCAACAUGCAUACACAUGCAUGCGCAUCAUGUCCAGGGAAGGGGGUGGAGGGGGGAAUGGAGGGGCGAAGUGGUUACCUGCAUACACACACACACACACACAAAGAUGCACACACAUACCGGUACAUUCAUCUGACCAUAACUACCACUACCAUUCAUCUGACCAUGUAAUGAUCGCACACCGAAACACGCACACACCGAAACACACAUACAUACACUGAGUCGGGGUCAGGAGCACGCAAGGCUAACCGACUUGUGCUGUGUGCUCCCGACCCUUGCGCUGUGUUUCGGCUUCGGCCCCCGGCUCUCGCGGCCCACAGUGUAAUCUAAGUCAUACAUACAUGCAUGCAUACAUACAUGUAUACAUACAUACACUCAACACAUGCCUGCGUUAUCCCUGCAAUGGUACUCCUCAGGUAGUCCCGGUGACCGGGGGUAUCGAUCAGAGUCAGCACCACAUCUGUAUUCCCGCCAUUCCCUCGAGGGGCCGCUCCAGGACUGCUGCUGGCGGUGGUUGUAGCGGUUGCGAAGAUAGUUGAAGAAGGUAGUUGCACACGGUUGAGUUUCAGGUCCAGGGUCAUAGACCGGUCUCGUUCCAAGCGGGAGCGAUCCAGGACCUGACCCACAACAAUAACAACAACAACGAUGACGAACGACAGCAGCAGUAGCAGAAGCGGUAGCAGCAGAAGCAGUAGCAGCAGUAGCAGAAGCGGUAGCAGUAGCAGCAGAAGCGGUAGCAGUAAGAAGCAGAAGCGGGAGCAGUAGCAGCAGUGUUUCGCGUGUGGGGGGUGGAUGUACGACCGCUCGGAGCCCAGAGUUCAGUUCCCCCCCACCCCUAAUCCGCAGGGCCACGGGAAAAAGGGGAACUUCUUCCUUAAGUGGGAGCACAUGUACCGUGCCGUGUCG
rnacentral:lncRNA from 1 species